AUGAAGAAACUGCCUUGGACUUCUGCAGCAUUGCAGCAGACUAAAGGAUGGGGAAGGGGGAAGGGUAGGGGGAGAGAAAUGCUUCCAUCACCCCUACGGAAGAGGAGUAUAGAUUUCCCGAGGGUGGGUGGAAUCCAUCCAGCAGGCUACCCAGAGCAGUCUCCCUUCCCAAGAAUAACACAGACACUACAAAGGAGAAGGAGAGGGAGGAGCAGAGGGACCAGAAGGGAAAGGGACCUCGCGCCUUUAAAUCGGGGUGCACAUCAACCCAGUCUCCCUAUGAGGGCCACACCUUCCACGAGACAUCCCCUUCCACCACCCCUUCCGGUGACCCUCAGGAAAGAGGAAUGUAAUUGCUCUUGCCCCUCAAAACGGGAGGGCGCCCAGCUCCCCAGCUUCCUCACCCCACCCACAGAAUCACAGACCCUCCUUGUCUCCCUCCCCCACCCCACCCCCACAUCCCUCGCCCCACGCAGAGGCCAGAGUGGGCCGAAUUUCCCCGCCCCCUCCAAGUCUCCCUUUCCCAAAGCAGAGGUGCCCUUACCCUUUCGCCGAGAGGUCCGGGGCGGAGUAGGCAGGCGCAGCCCCCUGCAGCGCUCGGGUAGCCGCUCCGCUGGAGGGCGAGGAGUGAGGAGGAGGAGGGGGCCUGGCGACGGACCGCCGCCCCCCCCACCCCGGAGCCCCAGCGAGCCGCCCAGCCCAAGCUCUGCGACAAGGGGCGGGGGGGGGGGGGGGCGAGGGGACGACUGGGGUCGAAGAGGCGCCCUCAGCGCUUGGGCUCAGCUAAGAUGGCGCGGGGAAGUGCCGAGAGCCGGGAGCCGCCGCCGCCACCGCCGCCUCGGGGGAACCGGCCCGGGCCUCGGCCGCCUCCCGUCCUCACACAGCCGAGGCCCUCUUGGUCCCCCGCCGCGGCCCCUCGGCGGGCGGGCCCACGCACAGCCCUCCGCCACCACCACCACCCCUGGGAAGGGGGCGCUCACAAAGAGAAGAGAGGCCGCGGGCCGGCCGGCCGGCGGUGGGGCGGGGUCCCCAGGGGCCGGGAGGCCUCAAAGGUUCGCGGCUGCCUCGCACUCUCGGCCCGCGAAGGGCGCAGGCAAGCGGGACCCCUCCUCUUUCCUCAGGCAGGCGGCGGCACCGACUCACUCUCUUUGCCACCCUCCCUCUCUCUCUCCCCAAGCCCUGAAGCCACAGAACCCGGCCGCUGCCCAGGUUCCCCCCCCUUCCCCAACACCACUCCCCUCCUCCCGACAGUCAUCCCAGUCUUCGAUCUCGCGAGAUUUCUCGCCUGACAGGCCCGGCCCUGCGCGAGACAAGACUGCGUACGCGUGCGCGCCCUCACGGGAGCGCGCGAGUGCUUGCACUGGGCGGAGUCGUCCGUUUGGCCCGGAGUCCCAGCCCCUGUCCAGCCCGGCCUCAGUCAGCUGGCGGAGCUCUUAUGCCACGCGGACGUCAGGUGCAUUCAUCUCACCCUGAAAUCUGAGAAAGAGGAGUUUCUCUGCUCUCCUCCUUUUUCCCUCUUCCCACUCCCAAAACAUCCGCCCCCCAGUAACGCUGAGAAUGAGAAGUUUGCCCUGACGUGUAGAAUAUCUGAGUCUUACCCAUCUUAGUUCAACUCCUCUGUGGAAUUCGGACGUAAACUGGUCAGCGUAAUCAGUAUGUAAUUGGCUUUGGAGAUUCUAAUAGUUUGUAAUAAUCUUUGAAAUGGCAAUAAGAGUUGGAAAUGCAGACCUAAUCACCCUAUACGUUGGUGAUGAUGGGAAAGACAAAUUCUUGAAAAGUUUUUGUGGAUUUUUUUUAGUAGGUUGAGUGAAGUUUUUGAAACAAGAAUAGUAGACAAACUAAAGAGUCCUAAGGGUCCCAAUGCAGGGAAGAGGUAGAACUUCUCAUUUUUUUUGUGGCGGAAAACCUUUUUUUAAGGGAAAACCCUACGAAGAGUGCAAUUUUAUUCAAGAACCCAAAGGUGUGCCUAAAGUGCAGUCAUAAAAAAUCUUAGUUCUUCACGCAAUAAAACUGAGAUAAAUAUAUCUGUUGUAUGAGAC
rnacentral:lncRNA from 1 species